rnacentral:misc_RNA from 1 species
GAUGAAGAACGCAGCGAAAUGCGAUAAGUAGUGUGAAUUGCAGAAUUCAGUGAAUCAUCGAAUCUUUGAACGCAUCUUGCGCUCCUUGGUAUUCCGAGGAGCAUGCCUGUUUGAGUGUCAUUACAACCCUCAAGCUCAGCUUGGUGUUGGGCCCCGCCGCCCCGGCGGGCCCUAAAGUCAGUGGCGGUGCCGUCCGGCUCCGAGCGUAGUAAUUCUUCUCGCUCUGGAGGUCCGGUCGUGUGCUCGCCAGCAACCCCCAAUUUUUUUCAGGUUGACCUCGGAUCAGGUAGGGAUACCCGCUGAACUUAAGCAUAUCAAUAAGCGGAGGA